rnacentral:rRNA from 1 species
CCUGGUUGAUCCUGCCAGUAGUCAUAUGCUUGUCUCAAAGGUUAAGCCAUGCAUGUGUAAGUAUGAACAAAUUUAGACUGUGAAACUGCGAAUGGCUCAUUAAAUCAGUAAUAGUUUGUUUGAUGGUACCUAGUUCUCGGAUAACCAUAGUAAAUCUAGAGCUAAUACGUGCAACAAGUCCCAACUCUUGGAAGGGAUGCAUUUAUUAGAUAAAAGGUCAAUGCGGGUUUUUACCGUUUUUACGAUGAUUCAUGAUAACUUGAUGGAUCGCAAGGCCAUAGUGCUGGCGACGCAUCAUUCAAAUUUCUGCCCUAUCAACUUUCGAUGGUAAGAUAGUGGCCUACCAUGGUGGUGACGGGUGACGGAGAAUUAGGGUUCGAUUCUGGAGAGGGAGCCUAAGAAACGGCUACCACAUCCAAGGAAGGCAGCAGGCGCGCAAAUUACCCAAUCCUGACACGGGGAGGUAGUGACAAUAAAUAACAAUACUGGGCUCAUUCGAGUCUGGUAAUUGGAAUGAGUACAAUCCAAAUCCCUAAACGAGGAUCCAUUGGAGGGCAAGUCUGGUGCCAGCAGCUGCGGUAAUUCCAGCUCCAAUAGCGUAUAUUUAAGUUGUCGCGGUUAAAAAGCUCGUAAAUGGACUUUGAGAUGGGUUUGCCGGUCCGCCUCAUGGUGUGCAUCGUUGAACUUGUCUCUAUUGCUGGUGAUGUGCUCUUGGUCUUUAUUGGUCGGGUCAUGCCUCUAGUGCUGUUACUUUGAAGAAAUUAGAGUGUUCAAAGCAAGCCUACGCUCUGUAUACAUUAGCAUGGGAUAACAUUAUAGGAUUUCGAUCCUAUUACGUUGGCCUUCAGGAUCGGAGUAAUGAUUAACAGGGACAGUCGGGGGCAUUUGUAUUUCAUAGUCACAGGUGAAAUUCUUGGAUUUAUGAAAGACGAACAACUGCGAAAGCAUUUGCCAAGGAUGUUUUUAUUAAUCAAGAACGAAAGUUGGGGGCUCGAAGACGACCAGGUACCGUCCUAGUCUCAACCAUAAACGAUGCCGACUAGGGAUCGGUGGAUGUUGCUUUUAGGACUCUACCGGCACCUUAUGAGAAAUCAAAGUCUUUCGGUUCUGGGGGGAGUAGGUCGCAAGGCUGAAACUUAAAGGAAUUGACGGAAGGGCACCACCAGGAGUGGAGCCUGCGGCUUAAUUUGACUCAACACGGGGAAACUUACCAAGUCCAGACAUAGUAAGGAUUGACAGAUUGAGAGCUCUUUCAAAGGGAACAUGUAAAUUAUUAUUACCCGUAAUCAAAUGAAUACAAUAAUGUCAAAUGCUUAACCACAAGAUGGUUACUUGCAUUAGUACAUAAAAAAACGACCUAAACACCUAUACAAAACAGAAAGUUACAAUUCAAAAUGCACCUACACAACAACAGUAGUAGGCCACACAGUUAACAGAAUUUGAUCCACUAAGAACCCAAGGAAUAACCCAUGGGUGGUGAUGCAUGGCCGUUCUUAGUUGGUGGAGCGAUUUGUCUGGAUAAUUCCGUUAAUGAACGAGACCUCAGCCUGCUAACUAGCUAUGCGAAGGCAUCCCUUCGUGGGCAGCUUCUUAGAGGUACUACGGCCUCUUAGGCCGCGGAAGUUUGAGGCAAUAACAGGUCUGUGAUGCCCUUAGAUGUUAUGGGCCGCACGCGCGCUACACUGAUGUAUUGAAUGAGCGUAUAGCCUUGGCCGAUAGGUUCGGGUAAUCUUUGAAAUUUCAUCGUGAUGGGGAUAGAUCAUUGCAAUUCUUGGUCUUCAACGAGGAAUUCCUAGUAAGCGUGAGUCAUCAGCUCGCGUUGACUAUGUCCCUGCCCUUUGUACACACCACCCGUCGCUCCUACCGAUUGAAUGAUCCGGUGAAGUGUUCGGAUCGUGGUGAUGUGGGUGGUUUUCUACCCGUGACGUUGCGAGAAGUCCAUUGAACCUUAUCAUUUAGAGGAAGGAGAAGUCGUAACAAGGUUUCCGUAGGUGAACCUGCGGAAG